rnacentral:rRNA from 1 species
AGAGAGAGACAUGCGCGCAUAUCAAUAAGCGGAGGAAAAGAAACUAACUAGGAUUCCCUCAGUAACGGCGAGUGAAGCGGGAAGAGCUCAAAUUUGAAAUCUUCAAGGGUUCUACCUUGACGAAUUGUAGUUUAAAGAAGUGUUUUCUGUUGGAGUUUUGGUAAAAGUUCUUUGGAAUAGGACAUCAUAGAGGGUGAGAAUCCCGUAUUUGACCAUUAUUUUCCAGCUGUGUGAUACACUUUCAAAGAGUCGGAUUGUUUGGGAAUGCAGUCCAAAAUGGGUGGUAAAUUUCAUCUAAAGCUAAAUAUUGGCGAGAGACCGAUAGCGAACAAGUACCGUGAGGGAAAGAUGAAAAGAACUCUGAAAAGAGAGUUAUACAGUACGUGAAAUUGUCAAAAGGGAAGCGUUUGACACCAGUGUUGUUUUCUCGAAAAUCAAUUAAAAAAGGCAGGAUUUUGUGUUGUAUUGACUUUAUCAGCUUUCUGCACUCUUUUCUUGUCUUUUUUAAUGCACUUUUCGUUUAACAAGUCAACAUCAAUUUCUUUUGUUGUAAAAGGGUCAUUGGAAGGUGGCUUUCUUUUCGGAGAAAGUGUUUAUAGCCUUUGGCCUCUGCAAUCGGAGAGAUUGAGGUCUGCAGCGUAGAUCCUUCGGGGUUAGAUACAUUUGUGCUAAGUUAUAGCCUUUCAUAGACAACUUGUUGACUAUGAUCAGUCAUGUAGCUUACUCGCUUAUGCUAUUUUACCUACGCUUAGGAUGUUGAUGUGAUACUGCGAGC